GCUAGCUACAGGCUUAACACAUGCAAGUCGAGGGGCAGCAUGGUCUUAGCUUGCUAAGGCCGAUGGCGACCGGCGCACGGGUGAGUAACACGUAUCCAACCUGCCGUCUACUCUUGGACAGCCUUCUGAAAGGAAGAUUAAUACAAGAUGGCAUCAUGAGUCCGCAUGUUCACAUGAUUAAAGGUAUUCCGGUAGACGAUGGGGAUGCGUUCCAUUAGAUAGUAGGCGGGGUAACGGCCCACCUAGUCUUCGAUGGAUAGGGGUUCUGAGAGGAAGGUCCCCCACAUUGGAACUGAGACACGGUCCAAACUCCUACGGGAGGCAGCAGUGAGGAAUAUUGGUCAAUGGGCGAGAGCCUGAACCAGCCAAGUAGCGUGAAGGAUGACUGCCCUAUGGGUUGUAAACUUCUUUUAUAAAGGAAUAAAGUCGGGUAUGGAUACCCGUUUGCAUGUACUUUAUGAAUAAGGAUCGGCUAACUCCGUGCCAGCAGCCGCGGUAAUACGGAGGAUCCGAGCGUUAUCCGGAUUUAUUGGGUUUAAAGGGAGCGUAGAUGGAUGUUUAAGUCAGUUGAGAAAGUUUGCGGCUCAACCGUAAAAUGGCAGUUGAUACUGAAUAUCUUGAGUGCAGUUGAGGCAGGCGGAAUUCGUGGUGUAGCGGUGAAAUGCUUAGAUAUCACGAAGAACUCCGAUUGCGAAGGCAGCCUGCUAAGCUGCAACUGACAUUGAGGCUCGAAAGUGUGGGUAUCAAACAGGAUUAGAUACCCUGGUAGUCCACACGGUAAACGAUGAAUACUCGCUGUUUGCGAUAUACUGCAAGCGGCCAAGCGAAAGCGUUAAGUAUUCCACCUGGGGAGUACGCCGGCAACGGUGAAACUCAAAGGAAUUGACGGGGGCCCGCACAAGCGGAGGAACAUGUGGUUUAAUUCGAUGAUACGCGAGGAACCUUACCCGGGCUUAAAUUGCAGAUGAAUUACGGUGAAAGCCGUAAGCCGCAAGGCAUCUGUGAAGGUGCUGCAUGGUUGUCGUCAGCUCGUGCCGUGAGGUGUCGGCUUAAGUGCCAUAACGAGCGCAACCCUUGUUGUCAGUUACUAACAGGUUCCGCUGAGGACUCUGACAAGACUGCCAUCGUAAGAUGUGAGGAAGGUGGGGAUGACGUCAAAUCAGCACGGCCCUUACGUCCGGGGCUACACACGUGUUACAAUGGGGGGUACAGAGGGCCGCUACCACGCGAGUGGAUGCCAAUCCCCAAAACCUCUCUCAGUUCGGACUGGAGUCUGCAACCCGACUCCACGAAGCUGGAUUCGCUAGUAAUCGCGCAUCAGCCACGGCGCGGUGAAUACGUUCCCGGGCCUUGUACACACCGCCCGUCAAGCCAUGGGAGCCGGGGGUACCUGAAGUGCGUAACCGCGAGGAGCGCCCUAGGGUAAAACUGGUGACUGG
rnacentral:rRNA from 1 species